CGGGCUGGGGGGUCCCCAGGGCUUGUGGAGGUUCCAGGGAAAGUGAACCAGACCGAGGAAGCAGGACCCCGGAGCCUCCUGGGCAGCGGGAACCAAGGUUGGGGGGCUCCCAGCCAGACGAGCCUCCUGGGGGCAGCACAGAGGGGUCACCCCCAAGACUCCAGGCCACGCCCACUCCUGGCCACGCCCACCCCAGGCCACGCCCCCAGGACAAGUCACCAAGGCGGCAGACUCCCACCUGACGCCAUUAACCCCUCCCCCACCAGCCGUCACGGCCUGUCCUAGUGGGGGCUGAGGGAGGGGCUCCAGCUGCUGAGAUGCCCCCUCCCCUGGGGGCGGUGGAGGGACAGCCACCUGGCAGCCAGGAUGAGCCACAAAGGACCAACUCCACCUGUACUGUGGCCCUUCACUGUCCUCCCCUAUGGCCUCCCCUCUUGUCCCCUGCCCCCCUCACUUCCUGCCGUCACAGAGGUCUCCUUGAUAAUCCUUACAUGCAACAGGCACGAGCCUGCCCUGAGGCUUUGCACUGGCUGUUCCCUCUGUCGGCAAUGCUGUUCCUGCAGGGUCUGCUGUGGCUUGGAUAUGAUCUGAGAUCUUAAUGGAUCUGGCUCCCACCCUCCUCUCCAGCCUCCUCACUUGCCUCCCCAAGGCUCCUUUUCAUCUAGAAAGAUAACAGCACAGCCCAGUAACAAGUGGGGUCGGUAACAAGUAACAAGAGCUGAUCUCUAGGCAUGGGCCGGAGAAUGGGGGUAAAAAUGUUCUGGGGCAGAACUCUCCGAGGGCUUAUCUGGAGGGGUGCUGUCAGCAAGGCUGCUCCCUCACAGUGGAUGGGCUUCCCUGGGCUGAGUAAGACAUUCACCUUGACAGAGAAGGAGAAGCAGGCAGCAUUUCACCUGGGUCUGUCUUGCACUGCGAGUCUCCAUCUUAGGACUCUGGGCUCAGACAGAAUCUUUUCCAAAGCCCCAGCCCCCACCCGACCUCCACCUGGACCAAAGGGAUCUGGGCUUUAUCGUCUGGCAGAGGAGUCUAAAAAUAUCUGCACUCGCUAACUUCAUGGGUUUAUUCUCUCAUCUGGGAGGCCCCCGCAAAGCUUUUGCCAAUAUAAAUGGCAUUUCCUUUGGUAUUUUUAAAGAUCAGAGAAUCCAAGGGAGUAAGCAAACUGGAUGGAGGCCUUUGAGAAGGGAGCUUUCAAAUGCCUCGUGUUUCAGGUUUUGAAAAAAAAGUUUUUUUUAAGGAGGCCCGAAAGGUUAGGUUUCCAGAUAGUUCACAAAGGAAGGAAGCAACCUAAAGUCACAUGGAGAAAGAGAUCGACCUCCCUCGUUGUAAAAUUUAGAUUUAAAUCCCCCCGAGGCGCUUCCUGAGCUGCCAUGUUAAAGCAGAUUUUUCAAACACGAACUCAGCUACGAGAGGCUAAAGGGAAAGAGGAUUCUCCUCCAAGAAAGACCCGCUGCUCACCUGGAAGUCGGAGGCCCUGUUUCCCAGGCUCCCUUGCAGGCUCCAAGUGUCAGUUCCGCAGGAAGAUCCAGAAGGUUCCCCCCCUGGACACUGCCCAUUACGACCUCAGGUGUCUCCCGAGCAGGUUUCCGGUUUGGAAAUGAUCUUGUCGUCAGCUUCCUCUGUGAAAUGGGCUCUUUUCUCUCCAACAUGAUUCCGGAGACCCUGGUGGGGACCGACACCUGGUCUCUGCCACCACCACCCCUCCUGUGCCCUGGGCCAGUCCAGCCACAUCCCUUUGGGGAUGGAAACUGGCUUUACCUUCCAGGUCCUCCCUGCACGGUCCCCUGCCUUUGGAGGG